GAUGAAGAACGUAGCGAAAUGCGAUAAGUAAUGUGAAUUGCAGAAUUCCGUGAAUCAUCGAAUCUUUGAACGCACAUUGCGCCCCUCGGUAUUCCGGGGGGCAUGCCUGUCCGAGCGUCAUUACUACCUUCAAGCACGGCUUGGAUUUGGGGGGGAAAAUUGUUGUGGGCUUUUUGUAUAGUCUGCUCCCCUGAAAUUGAUUAGCGGUACCUUUGUGGAACUGUCUACAGGUGUGAUAAUUAUCUACAUCCUAGACAUCUGCUGGAAUGCUGCUUUCUAAACCUUACUUGUAUUGACAAUCUUGACCUCAAAUCAGGUAGGACUACCCGCUGAACUUAAGCAUAUCAAUAAGCGGAGGA
rnacentral:misc_RNA from 1 species